CCUGAACGAGCCAGUAUGUUAUAAUUUGGCAGCAAUUAGCAAGGUCGACGUGAGGAAAUUUUCUCGAUUGGAGACCAUGGUAACUCUUCGAUUUAGCUAUGUGUCUUCUUCACAUGCCAGAUGACAAUUCCAAGACCUCAAAAGUAUGUAGUGUAGACAUCAAUUGGGUUCCGAUUGAAAUAGCAUAGAGCGCAAUGAAGUGCGAUCUUGGGAGGAAGACAAAUUUUACUACAUCCGUGUCCAAUUCAGUGAAAACCGGCGACAGCCUUUGUUGUUGGCGAAUAAUGCUUAACAUGUUGCCUUGGAUUUCCAGUAUUUACAUAUAAGAAAGAAAUGCAGAUAC